AAACAUGGUAAGCGAUCGCUUCUUUUGAAGAGGAAAGUCCGAGCUGCUAUAAGACAAAGAUUCCAUCUAAUGGAUGGCUAGGGCAACCUAAGGGAAAGUGCAACAGAAAGAAAACUACCAUAUUUUAUAUGGAAAAGGUGAAACGGUGGGGUAAGAGCCUACCAGUAGUUUUGGUAACAAAACUAGCUAUGUAAACCCAAUCUGCAGCAAGAAGGGAUGGUUUUAGUCUUAUGAUUUUACCCUUUGCUUGAACUUGUUUGCAAAAACAAGUCUAGAUAAAUGAUCGCUCUUGACAGAACUCGGCUUAUAGCCAUGU
rnacentral:RNase_P_RNA from 1 species